AGGACAAACGCUGGCGGCGUGCAUAAAACAUGCAAGUCGGACGAGCCAAUCCCCGCAAGGGGAAAGGCUAGUGGCGAACGGCUGAGUAACACGUAGGUGAUCUGCCCUGAAGUGGGGGAUAACGACUCGAAAGAGUCGCUAAUACCGCAUGUGACCACCGAUCCGUUUUCGGUGCUCAAAGUCGUAAGACGCUUUAGGAGGAGCCUGCGGCGGAUUAGCUAGUUGGUGAGGUAAUGGCCCACCAAGGCUUCGAUCCGUAGCUGGUCUGAGAGGAUGGCCAGCCAGACUGGGACUGAGACACGGCCCAGACUCCUACGGGAGGCAGCAGUUAGGAAUUUGCGCAAUGGGGAAACCUGACGCAGCCACGCCGCGUGCGGAUGAAGGCCGUUCGGGUCGUAAACCGCCUUUCUCGAGGAAGACACCCGACGACUCGAGCAUAAGCAACGGCUAACUACGUGCCAGCAGCCGAC
rnacentral:rRNA from 1 species